AUUACAUAUUAAACGACUCUUCAUGGCGUUCAAAACCCUAAAUUCUCGCGUAAGACAUACGCUUGCCUCCUUCGUCCUUACGCUCCCUCACUUUCCCGCACAAAAUCCUCCUCCGAUAACUUCAAACCCUAUCUCCUCUCUCCGAUCAUAUCUCUCUGUCUCUCUUCUAGCAUUCUUCAAUGGCUUCUACGUUUACGACUUCUUCAAGUGAAAGGCAUUCUUACUCGCUUACCUGAAAGAAAGUUGCCGUGAAACAAGCUGGUUAGGGAUUUUGGUUGCAGGCGUACGAACAGUAUAGCACGGACAACUCUUGGCCUUCUCCAAGCUUCACCGAGAAGGGCAGUUGGAACUGCAGAUGUUGCCUUAAGAGCUCAACAUGGCUAUCACUGGUAACGCCAAAUAUCCCAGGCUUGAUGGGAGUGCGUUUAACCCACAACAUUUCAUUAUGUUUCGAAGCAAUUUCAAUUACAAUUUUUUUAAUUCAAGGUGCUAUCAGAAUCUUUGUUAUUUUAUUUUUUGUAGUUCAUUUGUUUUCUUUCUAUUUUUGCUUCUAUUGUCAUAGAGGAUAUCGUAGGUGCCUUCAUGUAGUGAUUGACUAAUGAGAUCAGGGCACCCGUAUUGUCAGUGAGAUUUCAUUGCCAAUAAUUGAUAAGAUUGCACUAUCAUUCUAUGUAUAAAUGACUCUGUGGACCCUCCACUUUAUCUUCUGUUUGUCUGAUAAAUGGGAUAUCUUUGAUGGAUAGCAUUCUCCAGUUGUAUUAGAUCUGGGACAUGUUAUUUCAAGAACCCAUCAAGUGGUCCAUGCCCAAAGCCAUCUGCAGGUUAUUAUGUGGAUUUUCUCUUAAACUUGUGUUAGCUCCUUUGCCAUAUGAGCUCAUAUUUCGUUUGGUCAUGAUUCACGGAUUAUGGCAGAGACAAAAGAAGGUAAACUUAGAUUUGUGGUUUUGAAUCUGGUGUAUGUCAUUAUUUUUCCUGGUGUUGCCGUCUAGGUAUGCAGUCUGGAUCAACAGGUUGUUUCCUGGUGUUGCCGUCUUGAAAAGAAAACCUAUUACAUGGUAUGCAGUCUGGAUCGACAGGUUAUUUGGCUUACCGUUUGGAGAAGUGGUGGUUGGAUGUGCCUGCCCACCCACGUGCAGAGAUAAGUGGCCUUUUUUUCAUCCCACCAUACAAGUAGUCUGGUUUCUUUGGUUCUCUUCUUUCUUGGAUGUUAUUGUUGUUUUUGUAGAAAUGUUAUAUUCCAACUGAUGGAUUGAGUUCCCAGGGUUCUGUUCUGAUUCUAAACUCAGCUAAGCUGUACUCCAAAUAUUGAUAUUGAUCAAAUGAUGUGUUGGGCC